AGCCGGCGGCCCAGACGCGGGGACUCCCCCUAGCGGAGCGCGGAGCCUUCCAUGGGGGGAGGUCCAGUUCUCGGGAAAAAGGGGGAAAGAGAAAGAGACAGAGAGAGACUCACGUCAAUGCCAACCAGCUGCGCUUCUGAGUGGGAAACUCUGGACUGAUCUAAUGGCUGGCUCUUUCUUUCAGUGAUCCUUCAUUAUCUCUGAAAAUGAACCUUUUGUGAAGCUCUUCUCCUCAUUCUCAUUAUCCCUCUUUGACGGGGCGGCUGCUGUGUGAAGGAAGAAAUGGCACGAAGUAAAUGACUCCGGUACAAAGUGAUCUGCUUUGCCAAAGUGCCCAGUGAGCAGCACUGUCACUUUAAUAAUUCCAGGUCGAGGGAUUGCUUUCCUCCUUUUCAAUCCUCUCUUUUAAUACAUGGGAGGAUCAGAGGGACGUUAAAGACCGUAAGGCUGGGUAGCUUGCAGAUAAUAAAAAUGAAAGUGACUGGCCGGUGAUUUCUAUUGGGUAAGAGGGUGAUAUUGGAAGGCUGUUGUCUGGUGAGGAAAAAGGGACCUUUUCAGUCUGCUGUGUGAUCGAUACAUAGCUAGCAAAAUCCGUUCAAGAAGUGAAAGAAGUUUAAAGAGUCACUUUGGAUUGCUUUUUGUCUUGCUCCUUAUUUGGAUUAUUUGGGAGUUUUUGUCCUGCAAAUAACGUGUUCUUGAACAUGUACAGGUGGAGCAUUAAGACAGCUGCCUAGAGAUGGACUGUGCCUUAAUUGUAUUACUUAAAAUCUUUUAAUUUUCAAACUUUGCUGCCGGAAGAGGAGUUACAAUAGGGUUUUUGUAUUGUCAAGGAGCAUUUUCUCUUGUAUUUUUAUAGAAUCAAAUAUAUUUUAAAGAAAUUGAAUGCGUCUCUUAAACAUCUGAAAAGCUUUUUUUCCCCCUUUUUUUCUUAUUUGUGGGAAACAUCGGAAAUCCAAUACAAGAAAAAACAGCAAGUAUUGCUAGAAAUGAAGACUGAAGCUGCAUUUCCUAACUGAACUGUAAAAGUGUUUUGCACUAGAUAGCCAGUUCCUGAUCUCGCAGUGCUCCAUCGUUAAUACCUGUAAAUAAGUGCUUGCAACCAGAUUCAGAAGUAGGAAGAAGAAUGCCAGUCAAGAAGAAAGGUGGGCUAUGAAGCUUCCUAUCUCAUUUUGCAUCUCCAUUGUGUUAGAUUGUUGAUUCCUGCUACUUACAGUUUGAAAUUAAAAGAGCUUUGCUGGGGGAUUGAAAUCGUUUUUCUUCUGCGCUGAAAAUGGGAGGAAAAUCUGUGCGCUUUACAGUAGGAAUGUUUAAAUGUCAAAGUUUUAAGUGUGUCCUGUCAAAUUUGGCCUUAAGUUUUUAUUUUGUAAAUAUCAGCCCUCAGAGAUCUUGAACAGGCACCAAGCUUGGUGUUUGUUGUUGUGAGAAGCCUCUCUUACAAACACUGACGACUUUUCACAUCAUGGCUUUAGUCUGUUCUCUAUUCUUUACGUGUUCGGCGGGUUAAAGAUCAGCCAUCAGCAGGGUAAGCAAAUAACUAAACAAAAUUUCAGUGCUAUUUUUAAAUAAAAGUUCCAAAGUUGUGUUUUGAAGAA